rnacentral:rRNA from 1 species
GACGAACGCUGGCGGCGUGCUUAACACAUGCAAGUCGAGCGGUAAGGCCCUUUCGGGGGUACACGAGCGGCGAACGGGUGAGUAACACGUGGGUGACCUGCCCUCAGCUCUGGGAUAAGCCUGGGAAACCGGGUCUAAUACUGGAUAUGACUCCAUGAUGCAUGUUGUGGGGUGGAAAGCCUUGUGCGGCUGAGGAUGGGCCCGCGGCCUAUCAGCUUGUUGGGGGGUGAUGGCCUACCAAGGCGACGACGGGUAGCCGGCCUGAGAGGGCGACCGGCCACACUGGGACUGAGACACGGCCCAGACUCCUACGGGAGGCAGCAGUGGGGAAUCUUGCGCAAUGGGCGAAAGCCUGACGCAGCGACGCCGCGUGAGGGAUGACGG